rnacentral:rRNA from 1 species
CACGUAGGAACCUGACACGCAGUGGGGGAUAACGCGGGGAAACCGGCGCUAAUACCGCAUGAUGCCCCAGGAGGAGACUCCUGUGAAGAAAGGCGCAAGUCGCUGUGUGAGGGGCCUGCGGCCGAUUAGUUAGUUGGUGCGGUAACGGCGCACCAAGGCGAUGAUCGGUAGCUGGUCUGAGAGGAUGGUCAGCCACACUGGGACUGAGACACGGCCCAG